rnacentral:rRNA from 1 species
GAUGAACGCUGGCGGCGUGCCUAAUACAUGCAAGUAGAACGCUGAAGGAAGGAGCUUGCUCUUUCCGGAUGAGUUGCGAACGGGUGAGUAACGCGUAGGUAACCUGCCUGGUAGCGGGGGAUAACUAUUGGAAACGAUAGCUAAUACCGCAUAACAGUAGAUGUUGCAUGAUAUCUACUUAAAAGGUGCAAUUGCACCACUACCAGAUGGACCUGCGUUGUAUUAGCUAGUUGGUGAGGUAACGGCUCACCAAGGCGACGAUACAUAGCCGACCUGAGAGGGUGAUCGGCCACACUGGGACUGAGACCCGGCCCAGACUCCUACGGGAGGCAGCAGUAGGGAAUCUUCGGCAAUGGACGGAAGUCUGACCGAGCAACGCCGCGUGAGUGAAGAAGGUUUUCGGAUCGUAAAGCUCUGUUGUAAGAGAAGAACGAGUGUGAGAGUGGAAAGUUCACACUGUGACGGUAUCUUACCAGAAAGGGACGGCUAACUACGUG